rnacentral:rRNA from 1 species
CAGCAGCCGCGGGAAUACGUAGGGUGCAAGCGUUACUCGGAAUUACUGGGCGUAAAGCGUGCGUAGGUGGUGGUUUAAGUCCGUUGUGAAAGCCCUGGGCUCAACCUGGGAAUUGCAGUGGAUACUGGGUCACUAGAGUGUGGUAGAGGAUAGUGGAAUUUCCGGUGUAGCAGUGAAAUGCGUAGAGAUCGGAAGGAACAUCUGUAGCGAAGGCGACUAUCUGGGCCAUCACUGACACUGAGGCACGAAAGCGUGGGGAGCAAACAGGAUUAGAUACCCCGGUAGUCCCUGUCUCUUAUAC